CAUUAACUGUUUGUCUACGGGACGCUCCUGAACGUCAAUCAUUAUUUUCUGUCAAUCAACUGAUGUCUCAUCCACUUACACCUUGAGCAGGUCAGAGAGCGAGAAAAUGAGGCGAAAUCUGUAAGCUCUGAUACUUAGAGACCUUUCUGCCCUGCGAUUCCUCCACUGCCAGCGUGAGGACACAUACAAAUUGGAGAAACAGCACUUCAGUGCUAUGUUAUUUUGUUGUGACCUGCACUUCCUGGAUCCAAUCUGAAAUCAAGGCCAUGGCCCAAGAGGAAAUAUGUGGUUUCAGAGGUAUCACCAGGGGUUGAAAGAGACUGUAUCUCCAGAAGGAUGCGGCCCUGAUGAAAAUUAUCAACCACCGUUCCGCUUCUGAGUCCAAAUCACAGCUUUCACAGACACAUGAAUACAUUUUGUUUCCAGUGCUUCAUCGGAACAAUGCUUCUUUUAUCCGUUUUUGGGUAAAGAAAAGGCAUCCUAUAAUAUUAUUAAAUUAUAGGAUGCUACAUACCAUUUUCUGGAAUGUGAAUAGCUAACUGGAGUGCAUUAUAGGAAAUGGGAAGAAUUGCUUCAGGAAAAAAAAAACCUUAUUGCUGAAUAUACUGUACAAGUAAUAAGAAAUGAGUGACGUUUUUUUAAAUGUUGUGGAUGAAAACACUCCAUGUUAAAUUUAAACAAAUUAGUCGACUAAAGUGUGGUCAAUAAUGUUUGGCAAUUCUGGAAAUUCAAACCCGUACAUUGUCACUGGAUUAUCAAGGCAGAAACAUGUUUAUACAUUUUUUGUAGCUUUUACAUCUCUCAGGACGGACUUGCACUGCAUGGGUCACUCUGAAAUCACAACAUAGUGCCCUCCAUAAUGUUUGGGACAAGGAACCAUUGUUUAUUUAUUGGCCUCUGUAAUCCACAAUUUGAGAUUUGUAAUAGAAAAAAAAUCACAUGUGGUUAAAGUGCACAUUGUCAGAUUUUAAUAAAGGCCAUUUUUAUACAUUUCUGUUUCACCAUGUAGAAAUUACAGCAUUGUUUCUACAUAGUCCCCCCCAUUUCAGGGCAUCAUAAUGUUUGGGAAACAGCAAUGUCAUGUAAAUGAAAGCAGUCAUGUUUAGUGUUUUGUUGCAUAUCCAUUGAAUUCAAUGACUGCUUGACGUCUGUGAUUCAUGGACAUCACUAGUUGCUGGGUGUCUUCUCUGGUAAUGCUCUGCCAGGCCAGUAUUGCAGCUAUCUUUAGUUAAUGCUUGUUUUGGGGGCUCAUCCCCUUCAGUUUUCUCUUCAGCAUAUAAAAGGCAUUCUCAAUUGGGUUCAGAUUGGGUGAUUGAAGGCCACUCAAGAAUUUUUAGCUUUGAAAAACUUCUUUGUUGCUUUAGCAGUACAUUUGGGAUCACUGUCUUGCUGUAAAAUGAUACGCCGGCCAAUGAGUUUUGAGGCAUUUGUUUGAACUAGAACAGAUAGGAUGUGUCGAUACACUCAGAAUUCAUUAAGAUACUAUCAUCAGCAGUUGUAUCAUCAAUGACGAUAAGUGAGCCAGUACCUUCAGCAGCCAUACAUGCCCAGGCCAUAACACCCCCACCACCGUGUUUCACAAAUGAGGUGGCAUGCUUUGGAUCAUGGGCAGUUCCUGCUCUCCUCCAUGCUUUGCUCUUGCCACCACUCUGACAUGUUUAUCUUCAUCUCAUCUGUCCACAAGACCUUUUUCCAGAACUGUGGUUGAUCUUUAAAGUACUUCUUGGCAAACAGUAAGCUGGCCAUCCUAUUUUUGCGGAUAACCAGUGGUUUGCAUCUUGCAGUGUAGCCUCUGUAUUUCUGUUCAUGAAGUCUUCUGCGGACAGUGGUCAUUGACAAAUCCACACCUGACUCCUGAAGAGCGUUUCUGAUCUGUCGGACAGGUGUUUGGGGAAUUUUCUUUAUUAUAGAGAGAAUUCCUCUGUCAUCAGCUGUGGAGGUCUUCCUUGGCAUGCCAGUCCCUUUGCGAUUAGUAAGCUCACCAGUGCUCUCGUUCUUCUUAAUGCUGUUCCAAACAGCUGAUUUUGGUAAGCCUCAGGUUUGGCUGAUGUCUCUAACAGUUUUAUUCUUGUUUCUUAGUCUCAUAAUGGCUUUUUUGACUUUCCUUGGCAUAACUUUGGUUCUCAUGUAGAUAAACCGCAAUAAAUGUUUCCAAAGGUGAUGGGAAGACUGGAGGAACGACUAGGUGCUGAGAGCUCUCUUAUACCUGCAUUAAGGAGGCAUUUAAACACCUGAGCAAUUACAAAAACCUGCGAAACCAUGUGUCCCAAACAUUAUGGUGCCCUGAAAUUAGGGUACUAUGUAUAAACACAGCUGUAAUUUCUACAUGGUGAAACCAAAAUGUAUAAAAAUACCCUAUAAUAAAAUCUGACAAUGUGCACUAAGCUCAUGUGAUUUUUUCUAUUACAAAUCUCAAAUUGUGGAGUACAGAAGCAAAUAAAUAAAUGAUGGGUUUUUGUCCCAAACAUUAUGGAGGGCACUGUAAGACUAUAAGACAUAGGAACAGAAUUAGGCCAUUCAGCCCAUUGAUUUAUUCCAUCAAUCUAUCAUUGCUGAUCUAGUUUUCCCUCUCAACCCCAUUCUUCGUUCUACCCGUAACUUUUGACGAACCUUAGUAAUCAAGAACCUAUUAAUCAGCUUUAAAAGCUUCCCCCAAGGCAUAUUCUCAAGAUAUUGUACAAGGUGCUCUAGAAAAGUUCUAAAAGCCUGAUAAAAUGUUUCACCAAUCUUUAUUUCCUUCUCGUUAUGUGCAUCAACCAUCCAAAAUCAAAUAUUUUCGUCUGAGAUUACUGAAUUUACUACAAAGACACUUAAAUUAAUCCCAGGGUUUUGUUAAUGUUUCUGUUUUUCCAGCUACGACAAAUAUAUAAGAGGUGUAUUUGAUUUAUUCUCCUGAAAACACCUCUUUCAGGAGGAAAGGUCUUUUGAGCUCCAUUUCGUCAAUUUUUCAUGUCCAAAGCUAAAAGAGUGUUGCAGGCUAUUCUGCUGGCUUGCAAACUGGGUACAUUGUACACCAUUGAAUACCCACAAUGCUGUAUACAUGCAAUCUUGUAUUAAUGUGUACUACUGAUCAACUCUUCACAUCAUUAGUUCUUGCAUCUAGUUUUAUAAUGGAAAUUGCCAUGUUAAACUAUCGCAAUGUAAUUAUACAUGCAUUUAAGUAGAGGCAAUGCAACCCAACACAUUCAGGUGCAUGCAAGUACAGUACAAUAAGUUAAAAAGAGCAAUUUCCAUUGUAUCUGUAGAUUAAUGAAAUUAUGCUGUAAGUAUAUUAAAUAUAUACGUAUAACAUUAAAGUUAAUUUCAAGUGUCUUCAUCUAGGUAUCUACUACUUCCCAACACUGAUACACUGAGACCACAACGAUACAACGCCAUAGGAAACCAAUUUGUAAAAAUGAAAAUGAAAUACCCAACAUUCAUUUACAAUCAAUUUCAUUCAUUUUUGAGCCACAGAUAUGGAGCAGAUGGACUUGUAAUUGCUCUGAGCUUCUAACUACUAUGAGGAAGGCCACUGAAAGAUUUUUCCAAAUGACGUCAGGAAUUACGGUGUCAACCUGAGCUCAUUUUCACUCCUACAUUACAAUCCUUCAAGAAACAAGGGUGUGUCAAGAGUGUUUAUUUGUCAAAUGCACUGGACACGAACCAGAACAAUAAAAAUGUACUUGCUACAGCUUUAUGGGCACAGUAAAUGAACCAACAGAAAAAUAAACAUACAAUACAUUAUCAGUUAUUCUAAGUAAACUAGACCAAUGAUAAUAAAAAAAAAUUCAAUCUUAUUCCAAGAUUUGAAUAAAUCAUUAAACAGCCAGGAAAAUAGCAUUUUGGAUGAAAUAAUAAAACUUAAUUUUAUCCGCUGUUUCUCAGGCAUCACUCUCUGAAGGAGAUCCUCCAAUGUCCUGACUAUCUUUUAACCCUCAACAAAAAAAAAAAAAAAAAUCAAUUACUCUCAAUUAUUUGUGGGACCUUGAUUUGCAUUGUGCAUUUGCCGACAAACAUGAAUGAUAACAUUUAAUAAAAAUAUAUUGGUUGUGAUGGCAAAUAAAAGUUGAGCAUCUAGUGUACAUCUGUCACACUCGAGCCAUCACACUUUG